rnacentral:rRNA from 1 species
ACCCGAAGCGGGAUGAUCUAGCCCUGGGCAGGUUGAAGCGCGGGUAAGACCGCGUGGAGGACCGAACCCACCUGGGUUGAAAACCGGGGGGAUGACCUGGGGCUAGGGGUGAAAGGCCAAUCAAAUUCCGUGAUAGCUGGUUCUCUCCGAAAUGCAUUUAGGUGCAGCGUCGGUUGAUUGCAUCGCGGGGGUAGAGCUACUGGAUGCUUGCGGGCCCGUAUGGGGUACCAAUAGCAGCCAAACUCCGAAUACCGUGGAUGUGUAUUCCGGCAGUGAGUCGGCGGGGGAUAAGCUCCGUCGUCGAGAGGGAGACAGCCCAGAUCGUCGUCUAAGGUCCCGAAGCGUGUGCUAAGUGGGAAAGGAUGUGGAGUCGCAUAGACAGCCAGGAGGUUGGCUCAGAAGCAGCCACCCUUGAAAGAGUGCGUAACAGCUCACUGGUCUAGUGGUUCCGCGCCGACAAUGUAGCGGGGCUCAAGCACACCACCGAAGACGCGGCAGCGGCCUUUGUGGCCGUUGGGUAGGAGAGCGUCCCGCGUGGGGCGAAGCGGCCGGGGAACCGUGCCGUGGACCGCGCGGGAGUGAGAAUGCAGACAUGAGUAGCGAGAGACGGGUGAGGAUCCCGUCCGCUGGAUGACCAAGGGUUCCGGGGCCACGUUCGUCGUCCCCGGGUGAGUCGGGUCCUAAGGCGAGGCCGACAGGCGUAGUCGAAUGGAUGAACGGGUGGAUAUUCCCGUACCGGCGGCGUACCGUAAGAGCCGAACGGAUGAGUACUAACCUCCGGUCGCGUGGCGUCGUUCCCUUCGGGGUUCGGUGUCCGCGGUCGUUGGGAGCGUAGUCCUGGUAGGCUAGCGCACAGGGGUGACACGGAAUGGGAGCCGGCCGCGGAGGUGGUUUUCCGUGGUCAAGCACGCAGCCCGUCCCAUAGGCAAAUCCGUGGGGCAUGUAGGGUGAGGUGUGAUGAUGGGCGUCUUUUUGGCGCGAUAUCCGGUGGUCCAGGCCGUCGAGAAAAGCCUCGGCGCGAGGGGCGUCGCCGCCCGUACCCCAAACCGACACUGGUGGUCAGGUAGAGAAUACCAAGGCGAUCGAGCGAAUCCUGGUCAAGGAACUCGGCAAAUCACUCCCGUGCCUUCGGUAUAAGGGAGACCCCCGGGCGUGAAGAGGCUUGCCCUCGGAGCGUUUGGGGGUGGCACAGACCAGGGGGUAGCGACUGUUUACCAAAAACACAGGUGCAUGCGAAGGCGCAAGCCGCUGUAUAUGCACUGACGCCUGCCCGGUGCCGGAAGGUUAAGAGGAUCCGUCAGCCCCUUUUUGGGGUGAAGCGGUGAAUUCAAGCCCCGGUAAACGGCGGUGGUAACUAUAACCAUCCUAAGGUAGCGAAAUUCCUUGUCGGGUAAGUUCCGACCUGCACGAAUGGCGUAACGACUUCCCCACUGUCUCGACCAGGAGCUCGGCGAAAUUGCAGUACGAGUAAAGAUGCUCGUUAAGCGCAGAAGGACGAAAAGACCCCGGGACCUUUACUAUACCUUGGUAUUGGCGUUAGGCGCGGAUUGUGUAGCAUAGGCGGGAGGCUUCGAAGCAUGGGCGCCAGCCCGUGUGGAGCCGCAAGGUGAAAUACCGCUCUGUUCUCGUUUGACGUCUAACCUCGAACAGUCAUCCUGUUCAGGGACAGUGCCUGGCGGGUAGUUUAACUGGGGCGGUUGCCUCCCAAAGAGUAACGGAGGCGCUCAAAGGUCCGCUCAGCCCGGUUGGCAAUCGGGUUUCGAGUGUAAUCGCACAAGCGGGCUUGACUGCGAGAACGACGGUUCGGGCAGGGACGAAAGUCGGAGAUAGUGAUCCGGUGCCGGCGCACGGGCGCGGCAUCGCUCAACGGAUAAAAGGUACCCCGGGGAUAACAGGCUGAUCAUUCCCAAGAGUCCAUAUCGACGGGAUGGUUUGGCACCUCGAUGUCGGCUCGUCGCAUCCUGGGGCUGGAGCAGGUCCCAAGGGUUCGGCUGUUCGCCGAUUAAAGCGGCACGCGAGCUGGGUUCAGAACGUCGUGAGACAGUUUGGUCUCUAUCCUCUGCGCUCGUUGGAAUCCUGAGGAGGCCUGCCCAUAGUACGAGAGGACCUGGGUGGACGGACCUCUGGUAUGCCGGUUGUCGCGCCAGCGGCAUGGCCGGUUGGCUACGUUCGGGAGGGAUAACCGCUGAAAGCAUCUAAGCGGGAAGCCUGCUCCAAGA